CAGCCGCCGCGGUAAUACCGGCGGCCCGAGUGGCGGCCACUAUUAUUGGGCUUAAAGCGUCCGUAGCCGGGUUGGUUAGUCUCCCGGGAAAUCUGGCCGCUUAACGGUCAGAAUUCCGGGAGAUACUGCCAGCCUAGGGACCGGGAGAGGCCGAGGGGAUUCCCGGAGUAGGGGGGAAAUCCUAUAAUCCCGGGAGGACCACCUGUGGCGAAGGCGCUCGGCUGGAACGGGUCCGACGGUGAGGGACGAAGGCCAGGGGAGCAAACCGGAUUAGAUACCCGGGUAGUCCUGGCUGUAAACGAUGCGGACUUUGUGUCGGACAAGCUAUGAGCUUGUCCGGUGCCGGAGGGAAACCGUUAAGUCCGCCGCCUGGGGAGUACGGCCGCAAGGCUGAAACUUAAAGGAAUUGGCGGG
rnacentral:rRNA from 1 species